rnacentral:rRNA from 1 species
AUGGUUUCCCUGAAGCUGCAGAAGCGGCUCGCCUCGAGCGUGCUCAAGUGCGGCAAGGGCAAGGUCUGGCUCGACCCCAAUGAGGUCAACGAGAUCUCCAUGGCCAACUCUCGUGAGAACCCCAUUCCUUUCCCCUACCUCCUCUUAUCGUGUCCCUGGUUGCCAUGUGGCCAGAACAUUCGUAAGUUGGUUAAGGACGGGUUCAUCAUCAGGAAGCCCCAAAAGAUCCACUCAAGGUCCCGUGCACGCAGAGCCCAUGAGGCAAAACAGAAGGGCCGUCAUUCUGGAUGUGGUAAGCGCAGGGGUACCAGGGAGGCUAGGCUUCCCACCAAGAUUCUGUGGAUGAGGAGGAUGCGCGUGCUCAGGCGGCUGCUCCGCAAGUACCGUGAAGCAAAGAAGAUCGACAAGCACAUGUACCAUGACAUGUACUUGAAGGUCAAGGGUAACAUGUUCAAGAACAAGCGUGUGCUUAUGGAAAGCAUUCACAAGUCAAAGGCUGAGAAGGCAAGAGAGAAGACGCUCUCUGACCAAUUUGAGGCUAAGCGUGCCAAGAGCAAGGCAAGCCGUGAAAGAAAGAUUGCCAGGAGGGAGGAGAGGCUUGCUCAGGGCCCAAGGGACCACUCCGCACCCGCAGCAGCAGCAGCUCCUGCCCAACCUGCAGCGACACCAAAGAAGGCAAAGAAGUGA